rnacentral:misc_RNA from 1 species
AAGGAUCAUUACCGAAUUGUCAACACGAGUUGUUGCUGGUCCUCAAACGGGGACACGUGCACGCUCUGUUCGCACAUCCACUCACACCUGUGCACCCUCCGUAGUUCUAUAGCCUGGGGGCUCUGUCCCCCCUGCUGUGGUUCUAUGUAUUUACACACACACACCGUAAUAAAGUCUCAUGGAAUGUAUGCCGCGUUUAACGCAAUACAAUACAACUUUCAGCAACGGAUCUCUUGGCUCUC